rfam:Microbacterium sp. SA39 RS85_contig000035, whole genome shotgun sequence.
UGGGCUGGCCGUGAGGCCCUGGUCCACCCUUUAGGCGGGGACAUCCCCC